GCGGUGGUGGUGCAGUGGCGAGCAUAGCUGCUUUCCAAGCAGUUCACCCGGGUUCGAUUCCCGGCCAUCACA